rnacentral:rRNA from 1 species
ACUCCUACGGGAGGCAGCAGUGAGGAAUAUUGGUCAAUGGGCGAGAGCCUGAACCAGCCAAGUCGCGUGAGGGAGUACUGCCCUAUGGGUUGUAAACCUCUUUUGUCGGGGAGCAAAAGCCGGACGUGUCCGGCUGUGAGAGUACCCGAAGAAAAAGCAUCGGCUAACUCCGUGCCAGCAGCCGCGGUAAUACGGAGGAUGCGAGCGUUAUCCGGAUUUAUUGGGUUUAAAGGGUGCGCAGGCGGAUUUUUAAGUCAGCGGUCAAAUCGUGGGGCUCAACCCCAUCCAGCCGUUGAAACUGGGGAUCUAGAGUGUGCGAGAGGUAUGCGGAAUGCGUGGUGUAGCGGUGAAAUGCAUAGAUAUCACGCAGAACCCCGAUUGCGAAGGCAGCAUACCGGUGCACAACUGACGCUCAGGCACGAAAGCGUGGGUAUCGAACAGGAUUAGAUACCCUGGUAGUCCACGCAGUAAACGAUGAAUGCUACCUGUUUGGCCAGAUUGAAGGCUGA